UGGGGAAUAUUGCACAAUGGGGGAAACCCUGAUGCAGCGACGCCGCGUGAGCGAAGAAGGCUUUCGAGUCGUAAAGCUCUGUCCUAUGAGAAGAUAAUGACGGUAUCAUAGGAGGAAGCCCUGGCUAAAUACGUGCCAGCAGCCGCGGUAAUACGUAUGGGGCGAGCGUUGUCCGGAAUUAUUGGGCGUAAAGGGUACGUAGGCGGUUUUUUAAGUCAGGUGUCAAAGCGUGGAGCUUAACUCCAUUAAGCACUUGAAACUGAAAGACUUGAGUGAAGGAGAGGAAAGUGGAAUUCCUAGUGUAGCGGUGAAAUGCGUAGAUAUUAGGAGGAAUACCGGUGGCGGAGGCGACUUUCUGGACUUUUACUGACGCUCAGGUACGAAAGCGUGGGGAGCAAACAGG
rnacentral:rRNA from 1 species